rnacentral:lncRNA from 1 species
UGUGAUUGUCCAUGUAAGCACUAGUUCGGACGAAAAAAGUAAAUCAAUGAGAGAAAGUCAUCGAAAAUUAUCGAAAGGAUAAUAUUAAAAUGAUUCAAAAAAUUUGAAAAUUAAAAUUUAGAUUUUUAUAAUUUAAAAAUUAUUUAAAAAAUUGAUAUUAUUUAAAAGCUACAUACAUAAUUUACCUCAUUUUAUAUUAUAUUGUUGCGGUCAAUCCUUUGUUGCGCCCGUCACC